AAUCAACGCUGGCGGCGUGCCUAACACAUGCAAGUCGAACGCGAAAGGGGACUUCGGUUCCUGAGUAGAGUGGCGUACGGGUGAGUAACGCGUGGGUCAUCUGCCCUCGGGUGGGGAAUAACUAAUCGAAAGGUUAGCUAAUACCGCAUAACACAGUGAUGUCAAAGCAGCAAUGUGCCUGAGGAGGAGCCUGCGUCUGAUUAGGUAGUUGGUGGGGUAACGGCCUACCAAGCCUGCGAUCAGUAGCUGGUCUGAGAGGACGGCCAGCCACAAUGGCACUGCGACACGGGCCAGACUCCUACGGGAGGCAGCAGUGAGGAAUAUUGCGCAAUGGGCGAAAGCCUGACGCAGCGACGCCGCGUGGGGAUGAAGGUCUUCGGAUUGUAAACCCCGUUUCGGGAGGGAAGAUGGGACGGGCAACCGUUCGGACGGUACCUCCAGAAGCAGCCACGGCUAACUUCGUGCCAGCCGCCGCCGUAAC
rnacentral:rRNA from 1 species